rnacentral:piRNA from 1 species
UCUGGUUAUCUACUAUUCUCAGGGUAUAAAGC